rnacentral:tRNA from 1 species
GUUGAGGUGGCAGAGCCCGGAAACUGCGAAAGAUCUAAGACCUUUAUACAGAGGUUCAAAUCCUCUCCUUAACU